GAGCCUCUGAUGCUUAUUGCACCACAUGUGUUUUUCUUUGAAACAAACUUGCUUUGGCGGUGGGCCCAGCCUGCCGCCAGAGGUCUAAACUUACAACCAAUUUUUUAUCAACUUGUCACACCAGAUUAUUACUAAUAGUCAAAACUUUCAACAACGGAUCUCUUGGUUCUCGCAUCGAUGAAGAACGCAGCGAAAUGCGAUACGUAAUAUGAAUUGCAGAUAUUCGUGAAUCAUCGAAUCUUUGAACGCACAUUGCGCCCUCUGGUAUUCCGGAGGGCAUGCCUGUUUGAGCGUCGUUUCUCCCUCAAACCGCUGGGUUUGGUGUUGAGCAAUACGACUUGGGUUUGCUUGAAAGACGGUAGUGGUAAGGCGGGAUCGCUUUGACAAUGGCUUAGGUCUAACCAAAAACAUUGCUUGCGGCGGCAACGUCUACCACGUAUAUCUUCAAACUUUGACCUCAAAUCAGGUAGGACUACCCGCUGAACUUAAGCAUAUCAAAAGCGGGAGGAA
rnacentral:rRNA from 1 species